rnacentral:rRNA from 1 species
ACGACACAGAGUCCACCCCCUCCUGGCUCUCCCCUAAUUCGAAUGCAAGGGCAUGCGGCGGCUUCUCGAAGCCCCGUCGAAUCCCUGAUGGAAGAUGCUGGCCUUGAGUUCUGGCUGGAUGCCGUGGACCAAUCCGUCCCUCUGGCAUUAUUAACGCUAGACAAAGACAACCAUGCCGUGCCGGCGGACUCGAAUGCUGCCUCUGGAUGUGGGCAGCAAGUUGGUGGCGCCGUGCCGGAGAGGCCGACCUACGGCGUCGGGAGGCAUGUCCACGAAGUCAGCUGACAGAGUCAACCCUGAGCCGCAUGGUUGGAUGAAAAGGUUGAAAAAGCUGAAGCGCGUUAAAAAGUAUGAACCAAUUGCUCGACUUGUCAUCGGGGUUGUGCAUGAUAAAUACUUUGUAUUAAGAAGACAGAGCAUGACAAGACUAUGAUUUUGUAGGGAUAACUUUCUUUACCGUUGAUAUUUUGAAAGACACGAC